GCUGUGGGACAGGAGAAGGACACAGCCGGUCACACAGGGGGAUGACAUCCUUGCAUUGGGAUGGCUGGAAGGUUGCUCCUUCACCUCCCGGGCCCCUUCCCUGGUGCCAUCUCCUGCACUCUCUGGGUAUCAGCUCCUCACACACUCUCCAGAUGAGGAAACAAGGUGACAUGGCCUCUCUGGUGUCUUUCAUAAGAACUGGAUCACAUGAUAACCCCCAAACUACUUGCUGGCAAAGAAGAAUGAGACCGUCAUGACUGGCUUAGAACAAUCAUAGACACCAAGAAUAUUCCAAUUCUUUCCAGAAUCAUUUGUCCUUCAACUCAUCUGCAAGCCUUUUAGUCUAGAUUUCCUCAGCCAUAAACU